rnacentral:rRNA from 1 species
UACGGAGGGUGCAAGCGUUAUCCGGAUUCACUGGGUUUAAAGGGUGCGUAGGUGGGGCUGUAAGUCAGUGGUGAAAUCUCCAAGCUUAACUUGGAAACUGCCGUUGAUACUAUAGCUCUUGAAUGUUGUGGAGGUGAGCGGAAUAUGUCAUGUAGCGGUGAAAUGCUUAGAUAUGACAUAGAACACCAAUUGCGAAGGCAGCUCACUACACAAAUAUUGACACUGAGGCACGAAAGCGUGGGAGUCAAAUA